rnacentral:tRNA from 1 species
GGUCCCAUGGCUUAGAUGGCCAAAGCGCCUGCCUAGUAAGCAGGAGAUCAUGAGUUCGAGUCUCAUUGGGACCU